ensembl:lncRNA
CCGCCAGCCCAGCACCACUGCACAGGAUGGUCGAAUCUACACCGGUGUUGGCAGACAAGAUGGUUGACUCAACGCGUCAGCCGUUCCUCAAAGCCCGGAGGACGUUCCCGAGCAGGCCGCUGCCGUCCAGGAGGACGUUCCCGAGCAGGCCGCUGCCGUCCAGGAGGACGUUCCCGAGCAGGCCGCUGCCGUCCAGGAGGACGUUCCCGAGCAGGCCGCUGCCGUCCAGGAGGACGUGUCCAAGGUUCCCGAAGCGGUGCCCGAUGUGGUUCUGGAGGUCGAGGCGGUGGCCGAUGCCGUUCCGCAGGUCGAGGCGGUGCCCGAUGUUGUUCCAGAGACCGAGGUGGUGCCCGAGUUGGUUCCAGAGACCGAGGCGGUGCCCGAUGCGCAGGCCGAGGUCGUUCCUGAGGUGGUGCCCGAUGCAGAGGUCGUUCCCGAGGCGGUGUCCUUGUCCAAGGCCGUUCCCGAGGCGGUGCCCGAGGCCGUUCCCGAGGCGGGGUCCUUGUCCAAUGCCGUUCCUGAGGCCGUUCCUGAGGCCGUUCCUGAGGCCAUUCCCGAGGCGGUGCCCGAUGCUGUUCCGGAGGCCGAUGCGGGGCCCGAGAUGGUUCCGGAGGCGAUACCCGUGUCCAAGGCCGUUCCCGAGGCGGUGCCCUUGUCUGAGGCCGUUCCCAAUGCCGUGACCUGGCCAUCGCCACAGCCUGCUCCUUACUGGCUCCCCGAUUGGCAGGUUCCGUUCGGGCCACUUAAAUGGCGAAUUCCUCCCUGGCCGUCGGCACAACGAGAAUGGAC